AGAGUUUGAUCCUGGCUCAGAACGUACGCUGGCGGCACGCCUAAUACAUGCAAGUCGAACGGAGUAGCAAUACUUAGUGGCAGACGGGUGAGUAACAUGUGGGUAUCUUCCCUUUGGUGAGGAAUAACACGAGGAAACUUGUGCUAAUACCUCAUAAGUCUUUACGGAGAAAGCUUUAUGCGCCAAUGGAUGAGCCCGCACUUGAUUAGUUUGUUGGUAGGGUAAUGGCCUACCAAGACUGUGAUCAAUAGCUGAUUUGAGAGGAUGAUCAGCCACAUUGGGACUGAGACACGGCCCAAACUCCUACGGGAGGCAGCAGUAGGGAAUCUUGCACAAUGGAGGAAACUCUGAUGCAGCGAUGCCGCGUGAGUGAAGAAGGCCUUUGGGUUGUAAAGCUCUUUCGUCGGGGAAGAAAAUGACUGUACCCGAAUAAGAAGGUCCGGCUAACUUCGUGCCAGCAGCCGCGGUAAUACGAAGGGACCUAGCGUAGUUCGGAAUUACUGGGCUUAAAGAGUUCGUAGGUGGUUAAAAAAGUUGGUGGUGAAAGCCCAGAGCUUAACUCUGGAACGGCCAUCAAAACUUUUUAGCUAGAGUUUGAUAGAGGAAAGCAGAAUUUCUAGUGUAGAGGUGAAAUUCGUAGAUAUUAGAAAGAAUACCGAUUGCGAAGGCAGCUUUCUGGAUCAUUACUGACACUGAGGAACGAAAGCAUGGGUAGCGAAGAGGAUUAGAUACCCUCGUAGUCCAUGCCGUAAACGAUGUGUGUUAGAUGUUGGAAAUUUAUUUUCAGUAUCGCAGCGAAAGCAAUAAACACACCGCCUGGGGAGUACGACCGCGAGGUUAAAACUCAAAUGAAUUGACGGGGACCCGCACAAGUAGUGGAGCAUGUGGUUUAAUUCGAAGAUACGCGCAGAACCUUACCAACACUUGACAUGUUCGUCGCGACUCUAAGAGAUUAGAGUUUUCGGUUCGGCCGGACGAAACACAGGUGCUGCAUGGCUGUCGUCAGCUCGUGUCGUGAGAUGUUGGGUUAAGUCCCGCAACGAGCGCAACCCUCACUUUUAGUUGCCAUCAUUUAGUUGGGCACUCUGAAAGAACUGCCAGUGAUAAGCUGGAGGAAGGUGGGGAUGACGUCAAGUCCUCAUGGCCCUUACGUGUUGGGCUACACACGUGCUACAAUGGUAUCUACAACAGGAAGCAAAACAGCGAUGUUAAGCAAAUCCCAAAAAGAUACCUCAGUUCGGAUUGCACUCUGCAACUCGAGUGCAUGAAGCUGGAAUUACUAGUAAUCGUGGAUCAGCGUGCCACGGUGAAUACGUUCCCGGGUCUUGUACACACCGCCCGUCACACCAUGGGAGUUGGUUCUACCUUAAGGCAAAGCUUAAAACCUUUGACCACGGUAUAGUCAGCGACUGGGGUGAAGUCGUAACAAGGUAACC
rnacentral:rRNA from 2 species